UGGAACAAUAUUUUUGUUAUCAAACUUUCAAAGAAACAUGCUGGCCUAAAUAGCAGCCAGGAUGGAAGAUUACUGUGGCUAAAGCCCACUGUCUCAUGGCCAUAUAAACAGUGGUGCAAAGUGAGAGCCUUUGAGCUCUCCUGGACUGCAGCAGGCUGAGACCAGCACCUCUCUCUGAGUGGGGCCCUCUCAGAGAACAAGAGCUCUCAACAUUGCUGUUCCUGCAGGACCAUCACCAAACCACAGCAACAGAGCCUGGGCUGAUACCCCCGCUCCUGGGAACUCAACCCUGAGGAGAUACAAAGACAUCUCAUCUUUUGCUGAACUCAAGGGAAUUUUCACAGGAGUCACACCUUUCCUAAAGGAAAAGAGGAGCAGAACACUCUGGCACCAGCUGCCUUGCACAAAAAGACAGCGCUCAUGGGAAGGGAGGUUUGGGAUGCACCGCCAUGCACGUGUUGCCCAGACCAAGAAAAUCAAAGCACUGACAUCUGCCUUGGGAAGGUGACAGGAGGGAUCACAGGCAUAGAAACUUGGGCAACAAAGAGAAAUCACCUUGAUUCAGUCCCUAGGCAGCCCAUUUAGUUAUUAUUCCUGUCUUAAGCUCCCACCAACACUGUAAGCCACAAGUCAAGGGUCACAUGGGAAGACAUGAACAAUACCAGGAGCUGAAUCUGUUUGCCAAGGAAUGCUUUAGAGCUUUGCCAACAACAUUGCCCUCACCAUUUUUCUCCUAACUCAUCUGUUAUCUUCUUUACAAAAUUUUCAGCAGUUUUCCCUUUAACUGACAAACAUAUUGCUAGGGGCCUGAAGGCACUAAUAUACCCUAAAGGCCUCAAGCAGCUUCACCUGUAGCCUCCUCCCAUGUCCCUGCCCAUGGUCCUAGGAAGCAUUUAAGCUUGGUCCAGGGCUACUAAUCCUCGACUCUCUUUUGUAGGGGUGUUAGUCUUUGGCUCUGCUAGAGUUAUGAGUGUUUCUGUUUUAUGACUCCUGCUUGUAUUUUUAAGGCCCUAAUCUGUAGCAAGCUGGUGUGAGUACUGCUUUACUGUAAGGGCUUACAGAGCCUAACUGGGGGGAGCAGGGGGUUUGGGAACGUGGCAGUGAUUGUUCUUCCCCCCCCCCCCUCCCCUUGAUGCUGUAAAGGUGAGUGGUGCCUGCAUAGAGGAUGUAAGGUGCUCCUAAUUCCUUUUUGUAGAGGAAGAAACUGAUAUAUCCUCCAGUUGCAAAAGUAGUCUGCUGAAAUGAGGCUUUCACCUUUGUGCCUUUGCUCCUGCUUUUUAUGUAUCUCCUGCUGCAGCUGAAGUUUUACCCCGACUUUAUUCAAAUUGCAAGCGUGCUAAACCCGAGCGGGCUCUGGCCUGCUGCCCACGUGAGCAUCUCGGUGUGUGAGGGGGGAUCCCGGGACAGCAGAGGGAGCCGGAGCCCCGCGCAGCAGCCCCGGGCCGGGCUCGCUCCCCCGGGAGCCUCCGGGCUGAUCCCGCAGCGCCAGCAACUGCGGCUGUCCCUGCUUCGUGCGGCUGGUGUUGAAAUAGAGAUUUAUAGAGUUCACUUGAGUUAACAAAAUGAAUUAAGAAUUUAAAUUUUUAACUUGUAGAAUUAUGUGUUGAAUUUUAACCUUUUACUUAAGAAACCUCUGCCGCGGUACAAAGGGCAUAGGAAAAUGCAAAUUUCUGAAGCUUCUUGCAUAAAGAACAGUACUGGAGGACACCAAAAGAUGCAAACAACCCAGAUAAAGAAGCUCCUCUCUCUCCAAGCCUAUCAAGACUGACAGACGUACUCAGAUAAGCACCAAAGGACAGAAAGCGCACGCGCAGAGAGGAAAAAUUCAAAAGUUCAAUCAUGAGGAAGACCACAAUCUUCAGCCUCAGGACCACCAAGAGACCCCCCGUACGACCACCACAGCAAACCACGCGUGCCCAGAAAGGCGUGGACUUAUUUAGCAUGAAAGGCGAGGACAGGCGGGGCCAGGGGUUGAAUAUGCAUGGCAAAGUUGUGCAAUGUAUUGCAUAUGGAACAUCUUUGGGAAUAAAGGUGUGGGUCAGACUGAGGCUCGGGGCACAAGUUUUGGAGAGCUAUCUCAGUUGUGUCGGGCGCUGACAUACAUACCCACUUCAUAACUACCCUGGGUUGUGGAGUCUAUUUAUUUAUUCCGCGUAUCGCUUCACUGUCAGUCUUUAAAACAGCAAAGCUUUGUAAGGUGGAUAAACAGAACAAUUCUUUCCAGACCCACAUGUGAUGUUCCUUGGGUUUGCUAACCUGCUCUGCUUGUAGCAAAGCCUGUGUGGCUUUUGGUCUGGCAACAGCUGCAAUGAUACAGCCACUAACAGGUCUCAUUGAUUGCUGGUAUCAAAUAUACUGGCAACUUGCUCACAUUUGUGAUGGAUUUUUUUGUAAUCAAGCUCAUCUCUUCAUCAAUCUAGUUAAUCAAUUUUAUUGUCCCUAGGGCAGAGCUGCUUGUGGACAGGUAUAACUGGUGAUAUUGAAGUAGCCUUGGCAUAUGAAUCAAAGGGAAGAAAAGACCCUGGGUGUAAAGAAGCUUCUAUUUAUCCUACUGAAAUCUUAACUUUGGUAAUGAAAUAUUUAAUGCACUUUUAUUUAAAGAAACAUCUCUAUGAAAUGAAAACAAUAAACAUCUGCUGUUGGCUUAAUAGCUUAAGUGUAGCUGGAACAUUCAAUCAAUCUGAAAAUAUUGUGAGUAUAUUUCAAAAUGGUGGAGGUUAUUGCUAUGAUACAUCUAACCUUAAUGGCAAUGGGAAAAAUAUAUCCUCUCUUGAGAGUUCUUGAAUAAACCUGUCCGUCUGUGACCAGUUUA